CGUGGGGCAAAUAAAGAGGGGAGUAGAUGAAGACUCAUUGGGGUGGACGCAGGUUGAUGACGUCACGAGGGGGGGCGGGGCAAUAAACCGUGAUGUCAUCUGAUUGGAGCACAGGGUGAUGAUGUCACCAGGUCGGGCCAAUGGUGUGACAUCAUUGGGGAAAUGGGGGGGGGGAAGGGACUCACUGGGCCGCCAUCUUUGUCUCCUCCUCCGCCAGCUUGAUGUCCUCCUCAGCCGCCAUCUUGACCUCCUGCCCGGCCGCCAUCUUGGUGCCCUCUCCCGUCCCCACCUUCACACCUCUGGCCGCCAUCUUGCAGUCCUCCAUGGCUGCCAUCUUGUCCUCAUGGGCCGCCAUCCUGCAGUCCUCCAUGGCUGCCAUCUUGUCCUCAUGGGCCACCAUCUUGUCUCCCUCCGCCAUCUUGUCUCCCUCCGCCAUCUUGCCCUUGGUAGCCACCUUGCUCCCAUCCACCAUUUUGUCCCUGGCUGCCAUCUUGCCCUCCUUGGCUGCCAACUUCCCCUUGGCCACCAUCUUGUCUCCCUCUGCCAUCUUGCCCUUGGUAGCCAUCAUGCCCCCAUCCACCAUUCUGUCCCUGGCAACCAUCUCGCCCCCCUCUGCCAUCUCACCCCUCUCCGCCAUCUUGCCCUC
rnacentral:lncRNA from 1 species